GAAGAUAAACUGUAAUCUUUUUUUUUUAAAAUGUGUAAAUUAUAUCUCACUUUGAUGGAUACAUGUUUACAUACACAUAAAACAUUUCUUUAUAUAAUGUCUACCACAAAAUUGAGUCAGGUAGUGUGGCUCUCUUAAUGAUUGAUACAUAAACAUUAAACAACUAAUUUGCUCUACUUUACAUAAUCUGCUUCAUUGUGGAGAUCUAGAUCUAGCUGACCAGCCACCACGUUUCUAGAAAAUAACUUAUGGACAUGCUCUUUACUAACAAGCUUGAUUGAUUGUAUUCAGUAGAUAUAUUCAAUAAUCUAUUCACCCAUUAAAUUACUAAAACAAGGAAGCUAAGAGAAUAUCUGAGUGAAGUAUCAUCACUAAUAGCCAAAUAUAUCAAUGAUAUUAUUGAAAAAAAUAUCUACCAUAGAAUAAAUUUGAAUAAGAAUUGAAUCUAUUUCAAAAUUAUGGAUGUAGUGCCUAGUAGAUGAAGUCGAAAUUUCUAUCAUGCAACACCCAACAACCUUCAUGGAAAGGCUAUAGCAUUGGAUGUUGUAGGCCUAUAUUUAGACUUUGAAGCAGAAGCAACCUUUAACCCUUAUAUCAAAACCAAUUUAAAAAUAACAAUCCUUAGGUUUCAUAUAAUUUGACAACUAAAACAAAGUUAGCAAAAACUAAAAGAUAAAAAAACAGCCUAAAGGUAUCGAUUUGACAUUUACUUAACUGUAGGCUAGAAAGUGGUGAGGUCUCCCCCCCCCCCCCCC